CUCUAGUAAUUUGUAAUAUAUAAACAAAGGAAUAUAAAAAAUUAGUCUAUAGGAGUUUCCUCAGUUAAAAUACACAGGAUAUUACGAUUGACUAAUUGCGUGCGCAAAAAUGGAUUAAUAAAAAAAAGGGAAGGUAGGAAAUGGAAUUCUUCCUUGUGACUUCCGCUGUCUUGUUGUGGUUGAAUGUGCGUGUCAAAGACCAAGUUUACCCUCUAGGAUUACUGAAAGUCGAACGGAUGUUAUUCUCGCAAACUUUUCAUGGAAUCUACUCGAGAGGAUGUCUCUGGUAUUUGUAUAGAGAAGGGAGAAGGCAUACCAACGAAUACUAAUCCUUGAAUGUUUAAGUUUAUGUUGAGAAGAGAAUUACGGAGACAAGAAAAAGAUUUUCCUUUUUUUGAAACAAAUAUCAAGUUAACUAAAUAUUUUAAAUAUUUAAUGCGAUAAAUUAUGAACAGUCGAGUUUUAGUGAUUGCGACUAUUGAAAAAAUUAUGCGAUGGUAAAGUUUAUUGUUGCACCAUAUAAGUAAUGUAUGCAACCAGCUUUGUAUUUAUUUAAAGGAUGACUAUGCUUCUUUCGUAUGCUAAUUGUAAGCAGUUUUUUUUUUCUCGCAAUAAAUUCUUUCGAAAUGAGAGUUUGAGAUACUUCAAUGCUUAUGCGUUCCGGAUGUGCGUUUGGAACAGCUGAUUCGGAGAUUUUUUAAAUUUUAUUUUUCCACAACAAGUAAUAAUUUUUAAUCUAGGAUUAAUAAUUAUUAAUCUAAGAUUUAUGAUGUCACAGGAAGUUUUUUAAAUUAAUCUAUUGGCAUCGCGUGCGAGUUACGUUACGACUUGACAAUUUAAAACGCAGGUGCAGCUCACCGCAUAUAAAAUAUUAUACAUUGAUGUAACUUCCUCUCUCUCUCUCUCUCUCUUCACGCAAUAAUGCAAAUAACAUAUUUACAAACAAUAUGAAAUGUACGGAUACCAUAGGCAGGUAGACAUUCUACAUGUUAUUCAAGCAUGCAUAUGUUAUUAUUCUCAACAUGAUCGUUACAACAGAAACUCCGUCAAUGAUUUCACCAUUAGCGAUUGAUACGCGAUGGAAGUAGAAUAUUUUGCGAUAUUUUAUUUACUACGAAGAGAAACGUAUUUAUAUAUACAUCUCGUGUGUUUGAAAUUACUGCGAAGUCGUUAUUCCAAGCAGCUGAACCUGCCGCUGAUUAAAUCGGAUUAUCUCGUCGUUAGCGGAAUCUCAUUUCACGGGUAUCCCGUUCCUCUUUGAGCUUUUCUCUUUCUCUCGACUGUUGAGAUCCUCUCCUCUCCUCUCUCUUCUCCUUACGCUUCUGUCUCGAUCUCUCGCCAUCUCGUCCCGAACGAUUCUCGUUCAGAACGCGAUCGACAUUCCGAGCCGCGCCCAUUCUCAGCACAUGGUUCAACAAGUCUUGCGUUUAACGUUCGAUGCACAAACGCAUAUACUUUUGCGCCAUUCAAACCUGCAUAAAUGGACAGCAUGAUAGGUCUAUCCAGAGAUUUAUUUUUAUAAAAAGAGUAUAAUUUUUUAAUUUUAUUUUUAACAAUUAUAUUUUAUAAACAAAAAUGCCAUGAUAUAUUUUAAAAAAUUUAAUAUUUUAGCGAAUAUCAUAAUCCUGUGUAGACUACGAACUCGCGCGAGCUCUGAAGAAGAAAAGUUGCUUUCAAUAAUAAUCCACCACUAUUAUAGUGGUGGAUUAGCAAUGGUUAUAGCAAUUCUCUCUGCUAAAAAUCUUUUGCUUUCUUUUAUAAAUGAUUUCAGCUUUUAUUUGAAAUUUAUACAUUGAUUUUUUUUUUUGCUUUUGCGUGACUCGACCAUUUCGCUUAGAGUCGGCAUGCGGAAAGAAGACCCACUAAUCCACUUCGAUGGAUCAGCCACGCUACAUCCGAAAGGAUCUCGCGCCGCGAUUCCGCGAGGAAGCGCGAAGUGCAUCGCCACAUAACGUGUGUACUACGCUCUGUUAUUUUCGCGCCUUUUAUCCUUGACGGACGCGCACGCAUCGCGAUUCCUCAACAAUCAUACCUCGCCUCCUCGCUUAGGAUAGAGACAGGUUGUCGGGGGAGAACCGCCUGUACAGUUAUGUCUUACGCAUAAGGUGUGAGCGAAUGCGUGCAUUCGAAUGUCUGCGAGCAGAGAUGAGUAAAAAAUAAUAUUUGAAUAAACAUACUGUUUGAACUAGAAAAUAAAGAUAUAUUUAAAAGAAAACUCCGUUUCUC